UCCGUAUUAAUGUAUAUAAACAUUUACAAUAUACAAGUACGUAUUAUUGUACUACGUAUGCAGAUAUAUGAUGUCCGGACUGAAUGUGCUUGUAGGAGUUUUUUUUUAACCUUCUAUGUGUGUAUUGAAACAUUGACUAUUCCAAGUAAGUACUUCAAACAUUAAAUGAACAUGUUAUAUCGGAUUAAGUUUAAAAUUGGAUCUUGUUUUGUUAUCCUCUAUAUUCUCUUGUUCGAUCUUCACUGAUGAGCCUUUUGUGGACGAAACUACCGUCUGAUAUACAAGACUGGUAUCUUUGGUGAGUUUUAUUCUUUGAUUACAGAGAAAGACGAUGUUUUCCAAACGAGUGUUAAUGAAUUUAUUUUCUUAAAAUAAGGAUUUUUCAUUUUUAAGUAUUUUCCUCUUACGUUUGUACUAAAAAAUUUAGACUGAAUCAUAUCAUAUUGUUAUUUUCAUAUAAAACAUAUGAUAGUUGAUUUGUGUUCAACAUGUUAAGGGUCCUCCAUUUUCAGCAAACACAUUGAAUUGCGUUUGUAAAUAUUAAAAUCAGUUAACGAAUUUACCAACUAAAACAAUAACACGUUACGCAAUAAUGUGCUGUUUUCAUAAUCAUAUCUUCUCGCUGAUAUAGUCAUCUGAAAAGUACCCAACACAAAAUAAACUCAAAGUAUGUAAUUUUAAUUUCUUUUGUUUAUCUGGUGAUUAUCAGUUCAGUUAUUAUCCCGGAUUAGAAGAUAUCUUCUCAUUAACUAUAAAAAAAAUCAAGUUCAAAUACCAAUGUAUAACAUUCGUAAAAAUAUUAUCGUUAUUGAAUAAUUUAAUUGACGUAAUUUUCCACUGUCAGCCACGGAUGAAGGUUGUGCUGCUAUAAAGGGAAGAUGUCAAAAUGUACGGACCGCACCUUGCACUGGUGGUAAUAAAUUCUAUGAGCUGUUAUGUGCAGGAACUGAUCAACUUUGCUGUGCCAGGAAAACUGGUAUGAACCAUAGUUAACAUAUAUCUGAAUUAAACUCGACUCAAGUCUGACCCUUACUUAACUUUUACUUUUUGCAAUCCAUAUUUAACAUCUAUAGACUAUAUUAACUUCCUUAUAACAACUUUCCUUCUGUAUACUUUGCUUGUUGACUGAACGCCCCUAAUAUCCUGAUUACUUUUAGCCAAUCGCGGGACAAAUACUGCAGAAUCAUCCUGAAUCUGUAGAUCUGGCUGCAGAUGUUAAGCAUUUAUCAAAAAUAAAAAAUUAUAUGUAGCGGAUUGAACUAAAUAUUUCUACCUGCAGGGCUAAAUAACAAAUUCCCAUCCUAGUGACUGUGUUAUUCAAUGCACAAGUGGACAUCGAUGCUUCAAAUUUGUACUUUAAAGGUACAUCCUUGUUGUUACAGUCAGGUGAUCUUUAGAAUGGAAAAAUUAAAAUGAUUAAUUAUUAGUAUCAACAUAAUUAAAUCAUGUUUCUAUAUGUAUCUAUUACUUCCGAUAGAUGUACGAGUUGAGAUCAAAACAAAAAUAAGUUGAUAAAAAAGGUGAAACACAUAGGAUAGUUAUAUUUACCAGUAGGGUUAAACAAAUUCAGUUACCAACUUUAAUGUUAUAUACUACUAUUAAUAUUCCAUAAUGAAAAUUUGUGAAAAAUUCUAAGUAAAAAUGUCUUUUUUUCUUCUUUUUUCUUGGGUUUCUAUAGCAGUGACAUAUGCCCUAAAGGAGUAGGUUCAGUAAGACCCCUUUUUGGCCCCAAAAUAUAGCAGUUUUAUAAAAUUUAGAAUAGAAUGAUUCUGCUACAUAAAUAUGGGCUGUUUUUGACAAUACAAUGCACAUAUAUCGGGUACUAGCAUCAUAAAGCCAUGCUAAAUUACCGAAAUCUUCACAAUUUUAGCAUUUUAGUUAAAUUUUAGACGGUUUCCGUCUUAAAUGAAAGUGGUCGCAUUCGUGUUCAUUCAUAAUAUUGAAAUGUUAGUUGUAUUUGAUGAUAAUACAUAAUAUGUUGAAGGUUAAGGAUGAACACGGAUGCGGCCACUUUCAUUUUUGACAAAAACUAUAUGAAAAGUGACUAUUUUUGGCAUAUUUGAUAGAUUUUUCAUAUUUAAGCUUGAAUAGGAGCGUUUUUAAUGACUUAAUCAGUUAAAAUCUUUCACAUACACUAACUGAAUCAAUUGAAAUAGACACUUAAGUGUUUAAAAAGUAUCUAACAUAUUUUCUUAGAUGAACAUGAAAAUUGAGGCCAAAAUCGGCUCUUAUCGGACCUACUCUUUUUAUUAAAUGUUUAUACCUAAUCAGACACUGGUAUUCUCAAUUUCCAAUGUCUUCAUGUUAAUACAAACUUGUUUUAUCUCUUAUUUUAUUAUUUAUAACUGCUGGAAAACUUGUCCGGAAAAUUGUGCAUUUGGUUCUAAGUAAUGAACAUUUAAAUGACAUAUAAUAGUUUACAAGUGUGAACAAAUCUUAUGUAUAGGUAAUUGAACAAUGUGUAUAGAUGUUAACAAAUUUAAUGUGAAACCUGUGUACAUUACAUUAAACUUAUUGUAAACAGGUUUACUGUACAUGGAGUUUGGUGUGAACACGGCCUUAGCCUUAUUCUUUUAAUUUUAUUACAGCUGAUUUGAAAUCGUUUGUCUUCUGUAAAAUCAGCACAGGUUGCCUUUAAUUUGUGACUUUAUUCGUGUUAUUUUAGCAUAGUUUAGAAUAUCAAUAAUGGACUGCAUGGUUAAAUAUUUAUAUAAAGAAAUAUGCGAGGCUGUUUAAAUGUGAAUGAAUAUAUCCAUACAUAUAUAAGUAUAGGGAUUACUAAAUUGCUCAAUAAAUUAUAGUUAUCAAAGGUACCAGGAUUAUUAUUUAAUACGCCAGACGCGCGUUUCGUUUACAUAAGACUCAUCAGUGACGCUCAGAUCAAAAUAGUAUUAGCCAAACUAGUACAAAAUUGAAGAGCAUUGAGAACCCAAAAUUCCAAAAUAUUGUGCCAAAUACAUCUAAGCCUAAGGUAAUCUAUUCCUGGGAUAAGGAAAUCCUUAUUUUUUUUUAAAUUCAAAAUUUUGUAACAGUAAUUAAGUGACAUAUUCAAGAUUGAGAAAAUAGAAAUAAACAGCUGGUUGAUUAUGAUUAAGCAUUGAGGAUGGUUCAGACAUUAAAACCGGUUGAAAACUGGUCAAAAACAGUUCUUGUUUAGGUUAAAACUUGCUCAUACUGAUUUCCAAUGUUUUUACAGCAAAUUUCAAUUAGUUUCAAAAUAUCCGUAUGUUCAUGGCAGUUCUUCGGUAACAGGGUUGGUUAUAUUCCCCAGGGACUUACAGUCCACUGCAGAGUUAUUGGGUCAUGGCCAGAGGUAGUAACAACAUUCACAGUACACAUUGUACUGCACCACAUGUCCACUAAGAAGAAAUAUUAACCUUAACAUCAUCUCAUUCUUCCGCUCACAUAGUGUGUUGUGUAGUUUAGGAUCAAAUUUUACAACUCAAAUUAUAUGGGAUAUAUGAACCCCCACCCCAGUGCCCUAUAAUACUAAGCGGUUUAUCAUUUGCUUUAAAUGGAAAUACCAGAAUUUAUCAUUUAAGAUUUAUUGUCGGCAAUUUUGUAUUGAAUUAUUUUUUUCAGAUCACAGAAUUUUAAUAAUUAAUUAAAUUUUGUAAGGGGCCAGCUGAAGGACGCCUACGAGUGCGGGAGUUUCUCGCUACAUUGAAGACCCAUUGGUGGCCUUCAGCUGUUGUCUGCUCUAUGGUCAGGUUGUUGUCGCUUUGACACAUUCCCCAAUUUCUUUUCUCAAUUUUAACAUAUAUACUAGUAUGUGAUUUAACAUUUUCAGAAGAGAAAGACUGCCGGGCCAAAGGAGGAUCUUGUGAUUACCAUUGCCAAGGAUCUAAACCUUUCGCAAAUAUUUGUGAAGGUCACAUGUCUUGCUGCAUAGCAUUCAAAUAGCAACAGUUAUUACAGAUUGAUAAAAAAAAUAGCAUAUAUAUUAUGAAAAAUAUAAAUAUGACUUUCAAAAAUAAUAAAUGCAAUAAAGGAAACAACUGUUACAAAUUACUUUGUAUAUCUGUCUUUUGUUAGUC
rnacentral:lncRNA from 1 species